rnacentral:lncRNA from 1 species
UUCCACUUCUUCUUCUUGUUCUUCUUCUUUUUCUUCUUCUUCGUCUUCUUCUUCUUCUUCUUCUUCUUCUUCUUCUUCUUCUUCUUCUUCUUCUUCUUCCACUUCUUCUUAUAAUUUCUUAGCUUAAUUUAGAUAACUUCUUUCUUAUUGUAUUCUUCUUCUAACUUCUUUCGCAUUAUGCACAUUUUGAUAAAGCAGCAUGGCAUAUGGAUG